rnacentral:lncRNA from 1 species
GACAUUUCACCAAAAUGUUUUUGGAAAGAUGAUUUUUUAAAGUAGUUGUAAGACAAUUAAUGAGAUAUACAAUACGGUGACAUGCAAAUGACCAAAAGGAUGAUGCUUCAUGUAAAAGAGUUUUAGCUGUUUCUAUAAUGUGCUUAUGAUGUCUUUUUGUUAGAGAAACUUGUUAAGGGGUAUAUGGGGGAGAUAUCAGAUGCUUGGUGCUGUUUGGUUGAAGAUCUGACUCAAAGCUUUUAUAUUCACCCCUUCCAUCAAUGUAGAUAGAAAUUAUGUGUUGAAAACCUUUUCCAUUGGUGGAGUGAAUUUCUGAAAGAUGGAUUUGAUUUCACUUUGGUUUUGAAGUGUAAACAACCAAAUAUAUUUGGUACAUUGGUCUAUAAAGUUCCAAUAAUAUAGCUUUUUUAUCAAUAAAAAUGAAAAAUGAAGGUCCUCCUAAGUCACUAAACAAUGUUUUUAGGGGAGCAUCACUGGACUGAGUUAGUUUAUAAGAAAGAAAUCGAUGAAUUUUAUUGGAACAACUUGAAUGUAGUAAGUAAAUUUGUGUUCGCGAACAAAAAGGAGAGAAAUCUUCUUCAAAAUAAAAUUGCGAGCUUGGAAAUGAGGAUGUCCUAGAUGAUGAUGCCAAACAUAAACAGGUACUUUGGUAGUGGUGAAAUUGGCAGUAUGCGAUGAUGUGGAGUAUUUUUUUAUUCUGGUUGCACCCUAGUGGAAUCCGUGUUUGCAGGUCCUUCACAUGAAAAUGUAAAAGAAAGAAUUCAAUAGAAGUUGAGUUAUCUUGGCAAAAUCUAGAAACAAAAUAAGAUUUUGCUUUCCAGCAGGCACAACAAGACUGUUAAAUAGCCUGAAAACAUUACUUGAUGCAUUUAACUUAGUAGAAUCUGUGUAAGUAAUGGGAAUUGUUUUACCAUCUCCCCUUGAUAUUUUGUCAUGGCUAGUACGCUCCUGAAGGUUGUGAGGUGUUGGUGCCUGAGCCCAAGUUCCAUGUGUUGGCAUCCAAUUGAAGAUCGGAGGCAACAUUGGCUUUUAUUGCUAAAUGGUUAUGGAUCCUGAGAGACUUAGCUUGCAAUAUGACUUCUCUGGUUGCAAAGUUGGCAGUGAAUGAGGUGUUGGGACAAUAAGACUGCCAGUUUUGUUGGUUGUUGGAGCUGGUGGAUCAAGGCAUUGAGGAGCAUCGGUUUUGGUUAAGUGUGAGUUGUCGGUUGUUCUGAUUGAUUGGCUAGAAGAGGGGUGUUUUUCUUUUUUUGUGCGGUGGCAGCAAUAAUGAGAGAAGAUGGUUUGUGAAGAUCUUGAUGUCUGAGGAAAAGCUCGUGAUUAGUGAGCUUGUGCAAUGGAAAUCUCAUGAUAUUCAGGGCCAAUAUGCUUCUUCAGCUACAGGAGAACCAACAACUUUG